UAGGGAAUAUUGGACAAUGGGGGGAACCCUGAUCCAGCCAUGCCGCGUGGAGGAAGACUGCCCUCUGGGUUGAAAACUCCUUUUAUAUGGGAAGAACCGUCCUCAUUGAUGAGUGACCUGACGGUACCAUAGGAAUAAGCACCGGCUAACUCCGUGCCAGCAGCCGCGGUAAGAGGAAGGAUGCAAGCGUUAUCCGGAUUCAUUGGGUUUAAAGGGUGCGUAGGCGGGCUUGUAAGUCAGUGGUGAAAUCUCUCAGCUUAACUGAGAAACUGCCAUUGAUACUGCAGGCCUAGAGUAUAGAUGACGUUGGCGGAAUAUGACAUGUAGUGGUGAAAUACUUAGAUAUGUCAUAGAACACCGAUUGCGAAGGCAGCUAACGAAACUAUAACUGACGCUGAGGCACGAAAGUGCGGGGAUCAAACA
rnacentral:rRNA from 1 species